rnacentral:rRNA from 1 species
GACGAACGCUGGCGGCGUGCUUAACACAUGCAAGUCGAACGGUGAAGCGCCUUCCUUUUUGGUGGGUGUGGAUGAGUGGCGAACGGGUGAGUAACACGUGAGUAACCUGCCCCCUUCUUCUGGAUAACCGCAUGAAAGUGUGGCUAGUACGGGAUAUUCUGGGUCUGUCGCAUGAUGGGUCUGGGAAGGAUAUUGUUUCGGUGGGGGGUGGGCUCGCGGCCUAUCAGCUUGUUGGUGGGGUGAUGGCCUACCAAGGCGGUGACGGGUAGCCGGCCUGAGAGGGUGGACGGUCACACUGGGACUGAGACACGGCCCAGACUCCUACGGGAGGCAGCAGUGGGGAAUAUUGCACAAUGGGCGCAAGCCUGAUGCAGCGACGCCGCGUGAGGGAUGGAGGCCUUCGGGUUGUGAACCUCUUUCGCCAGUGAAGCAGGCCUGCCUCGUUUGUGGGUGGGUUGACGGUAGCUGGAUAAGAAGCGCCGGCUAACUACGUG